AAGAAGCAGUGAGAGGGUGGAGGAGUGUUUCGACAUGGCAGACAGUCUGAGGGCCCAGCUGUCUGUCCGGAGCCCAAGAUCUGCUUGUCUGACGAGUCUAUUCAUCAUGAAAUCUGCCCUGGUCUUUACUGGGACAGCAGAAAGCAGCUCUGUGUGCACCGUGGGAUGAGGUAGUAGGUUGUAUAGUUUUAGGGUCACACCCGCACUGGGAGAUAACUAUUCAACCUACUGUCUUUCUCAAAGUGCCAAACACACGUCUCUGAGGAGCCUCUGUGUCUUCUUUCAGUCAUUGUGCCCAUGGAUGGAGAUGUUGCUCACACAGUGUGAGGUAGUAGAUUGUAUAGUUGUAGGGUAGUGAUUUUGCCCUGUUUGGGAGAUAACUAUACAAUCUAUUGCCUUCCCUGAGGAGUGGCUUUUCUUCUAUUUGAUUCAUGUUAAAUGGUAUUCAUACAUUCAUCCUCAGAGUGCUUCAGGGUUCUUAAGAGGUCCCGAAAGACUGACGCUACACAGCUUCUCUGUAAACUGUCCUUUAUCCAUUUUUUUUAAAUAUUUUUUUUAUUUACGUUAUCUUUAAGUUGUGGUGAGCUUUGUUGGUUCUGAGCAGAAGUGAAUUUUGUUAAGCUGCUUUUUAGUUUUCAAUACAUUGUGAUCUAUUUUUGGUUGACAAAUGAAAUCUGCUAUCAUUUAAAAUAAUUGGUAAUAUUGUUUUUUGCCGGAACAAACAACUUUAAUAAAAAUCUGAAAUAAUA